CGGAAGGUUGGGUGGACGAUUGGUCAGGUUGACCCAGGUCAGGUCCGAAAGGAAGCAGCCACAGCUUGUUUCAGACGGGUCAUCCAGCCUUUCAUUU
rfam:SAR116 cluster alpha proteobacterium HIMB100 contig10, whole genome shotgun sequence.